rnacentral:lncRNA from 10 species
CUCCUGACAUCAGAAAAAAGCUUCAAAAAUUUGAAUCUGGCCCUCAAACCCCACAACAGGAAUUAAUCAACCUCGCCUUCAAUGUGUACAAUAAUAGAGAAGAGGCAGCCAAGCAGAAACACAUUUCUGAGUUACAAUUACUUGCCUCUGCUGUGAGACAAAACCCAGCUGCACCUCCGGCACACAAGAACUUCAAAAUGCCUAAGCUGCAGUGGUCAGGCUUUCCUACAGGACCUCCUCCCUCAGGAUCUUGCUUCAAGUGCCAGAAAUCUGGCCAGUGGGCCAAGGAAUGCCUGCAGCCCAGGAUUCCUCCCAAGCCAUGUUCCAUCUGUGCAGUGACCCACUGGAAAUCAGACCGCCCAGCUCACCCGGCAGCCACUUCCAGAGCCCAGCCCCUAAAGCUCUGGCCCAAGGGUCUCUGACUGACUCCUUACCAGACCUGCUCAGCUUAGUGGCUGAAGACUGACGCUGCCCAAUCACCUUGGAAGCCCCCUGGACCAUCAUGGAUGCCAAGCUUCGGGUAACUUUCACAGUGGAGGACAGGAAUGUCAGGCCUCUGCGCCGAAGCUCAGCCAUUGUAACCCCUGUGACUUGCACAUAUGUGUCCAGAUGGCCUGCAGGAGCCAAGAAGUCUGGGGCAGCUGAAAAACCACAAAAGAAGUAAAACAGCCAGUUCCUGCCUUAACAGAUUAACCAACAUUCCACCAUUCCACCAUUGUGACUGGUCCCUGCCCUACCUUAAUGGAUCGAUUGACCUUGUGACAUUCUUCUUCUGGACAAUGAGUCUUAUGAUCUCCCUACCAUGUACCUUGUGACCCCCCUCCUCUGCUAACAAUAGAUAACCACCUUUUAGUGUAAUUUUCCAUUACCUACCCAACUCCUAUAGGGCAACCCCUUCCCCAUCUCCCUUCGCUGACUCUCUUUUCAGACUCAGCCCACUUGCACCCAAGUGAAUAAACAGCCUUGUUGCUCACACAAAGCCUGUUGGUGGCGUCUUCACACAGACAUGCGUGACAUCUGCUCACCCACCUCUAAUACUGCAGAUUGAACAGUUCCCUUUGGAAAGCCCUUCCUGAUGUUGAGCUAAAAUGUCUUCCUGUCAUGUCCAUUCAUUAGUAGAAUAAACAUUUUAUCCAAAUGAGGCUGAUUAAACCAGAGGUUUAUGCAAAGGUGUAUGCAUCAAAGAUAGUGAUUUCCUGAGUGGAAGAAUUAAAUACCAGCUAAGAGUGAUUACAUAAAGCAUGGACCUUUUAUCUCUAUAGAAAAAACGCUACCUGACAAUAUUUCAAGUUAGAAUUUUGCUUUUCUUUUUCUCAAGUCAGGGUCUCAUUCUGUCACACAGACUGGAGUGCAGUGGUGCGAUCAUGCUGGCUAAUUUUUAAAUUUUUUGUAGACAGGGUCUGCUAUGUUGCCCAGGUUGGUCUAGAGCUCCUGGGCUCAAGGGAUCCUCCUACCUUGGCCUCCCAAAGUGCUGGGAUUACAGGCAUGAGGCACCUCGCCCAGCCCAAAUUAGGAUUUUUCUGGAGUGUAUAUUAGCACUUUCCUGAAAGGCAGCAAAUGUUUCAAAAGUUCACACCCUUUAACUCAAUAAUUACACAUCUAGGAAUCUUAUUCUCUGAAAAUAGUAUAGCAUGGAAAACGUUUUUUGCACAAAUUUUUGUUUUUUUAACCACAGUGUUUCUUUUAAAAUGUUAUUAAAAGAAUAAAAACAACCAAAAAUGUUCCUCAGAAGCAAUAUGUAAAUUCUGAAUACCAGAUAAACUACUAGGCAAGCAUCUAAAAUAAAGUUUACAGAUUUUCUUAAAACAUGAUGAAAUACUUGUGUAUUCAAUGGAUAUUCCAAGGCUCAGCUUCUAUAAAAAAAAUCUAACUCUGAGUAAGGGGAUCCAUAACAG